rnacentral:rRNA from 1 species
UACGUAGGGUGCGAGCGUUAAUCGGAAUUACUGGGCGUAAAGCGUGCGCAGGCGGUUUUGUAAGCCAGGUGUGAAAUCCCCGGGCUCAACCUGGGAAUGGCAUUUGGGACUGCAAGGCUGGAGUGCGGCAGAGGAGACUGGAAUCCCUGGUGUAGCAGUGAAAUGCGUAGAUAUCAGGAGGAACACCGAUGGCGAAGGCAGGUCUCUGGGCUGACACUGACGCUCAUGCACGAAAGCGUGGGGAGCAAACAGG